GGUUAGGCUCCGUGCAAUUGGCUGGCACCCAACCCCGUCAGAUCCGGAAGGAAGCAGCGGUAAGUGAUCGGCUGAUGUGCCACGGCCCGCUUGGCUGGA
rnacentral:SRP_RNA from 1 species